UACGUAGGGGGCAAGCGUUGUCCGGAAUCAUUGGGCGUAAAGAGCGCGUAGGCGGCCCAGUAAGUCCGCUCUGAAAGUCAGAGGCUCAACCUCUGAAUGCGGGUGGAUACUGCUGGGCUAGAGUCCGGAAGAGGCGAGUGGAAUUCCUGGUGUAGCGGUGAAAUGCGCAGAUAUCAGGGGAACACCGAUGGCGAAGGCAGCUCGCUGGGACGGUACUGACGCUGAGGCGCGAAAGCGUGGGAGCAAACAGG
rnacentral:rRNA from 1 species